rnacentral:lncRNA from 1 species
CACAAAUUAUAUUUAUAUAUACAUGUAUUUAUUUUUUUACAAUGUUAACAAAAUAUAAUUCAAAUAAUACAAAAUAAAAUAAAAUUAAGGUUAUAUCUUCAUUGAAAUAAUAAUAAUAUAUUUUCAUAUUUUUGUAGAUCUAUGAUUAUGAGAAAGUUUCAAAAUAGAUUUAUUUUUAAUACACUGUCAGUACAAAUACUAAGACGCAGGCCUACCAGAAUCUUCGAAGGUUUGUAUGAUCAAAAUUAUGAUCUAAAUUAAUUUUGGGACAUAUUAUAUAUGCAAGCUUUAAAGUCAUACAAAACCAGUGACCGGUGAUAAAUAAUGUAAAUCCAAUAACUAGACCAAUGCAUACAUAUAUCAUAAACUUAGUUUUCUAUGCCGGAUUUUACCAUUUUUUCGCAUAAGUUUCGUACAAUCGUCAAAAAUAAUUUCAAUCGGUCAGUGUUGUUGUGGAAAUAUGGCAGCAAUAAUUAAUGAUUGUGUUUUAAAGCCAAAAUGUAAAAAUAGGCACUCGUUUGUAAACAAUCAACAAAGAAGCAUGGACAUUCAGGUAAGCACGUGUAUAACAGGUACAAUAAGAUACAGUUUAUCCUGAUGACGGAGCGAUGGUUACGUUUGGUUUUCUAUUUGAACUUGCAAUCUCCACAUUUUUACGAGAAAAGUCACUCUGCAUACGAAAAACAUGUCGGCGAAUUAUUUGCUGAAAUUAAGCAAUUUAAAAGUAGACUUCUUCUAAAUUUGGACAAAUUUUAGAAUUUUCUUGAAAACAAGAGGCUCUCAAGAGCCUGAAUCGCUCACCUGGUAAACAAUGCCUUAUUGAACAUAUUGAACCAUGCCAGGCAAACAUGUACAGCUAACAAUUCUUCAAUAUUACAAAUAUAUAUGACUUACUGUUUAUAAAUAAAGAAA